CUGGCUCAGGAUGAACGCUAGCUACAGGCUUAACACAUGCAAGUCGAGGGGCAGCAUGAAGUCAGCUUGCUGACUUGAUGGCGACCGGCGCACGGGUGAGUAACGCGUAUCCAACCUACCCCAUAGUAGGGGAUAGCCCGUAGAAAUGCGGAUUAAUACCCUAUGUUUUCCGAGGAGGACAUCUGACUUGGAACAAAGAUUCAUCGCUAUGGGAUGGGGAUGCGUCCGAUUAGCUUGUUGGCGGGGUGACGGCCCACCAAGGCGACGAUCGGUAGGGGUUCUGAGAGGAAGGUCCCCACACUGGUACUGAGACACGGACCAGACUCCUACGGGAGGCAGCAGUGAGGAAUAUUGGUCAAUGGGCGAGAGCCUGAACCAGCCAAGUAGCGUGCAAGGAAGACGGCCCUACGGGUUGUAAACUGCUUUUAUCAGGGGAUAAAGUGUGGGACGCGUCCCUCAUUGCAGGUACCUGAUGAAUAAGGACCGGCUAAUUCCGUGCCAGCAGCAGC
rnacentral:rRNA from 1 species